AAUAGAAAGUGUAGUAGGUGGCCUUAUACAUAUAUUUAACAUCUAAUUGGGGAUUCACUGGCUUUAGUUGGAUUCCACAGUCAGGAACUCUCCAAAGUGCCUUGCAGUGACCAGACUCUGCCCAGCUCUGACUGUGCAGUGCUGAAAAAGUGUUUCCUUUUCCUGCUUCUCCCCUCCCUUGGUAAAAAAUAUGGUGGAGAUGAUCUGUGAUAGAGCUGAUCCUUCACUCAGGUAGUAAAUUAAUACUAUGGAUCCUGAAAGGAACUUAUCAGAAGUCAGAUGUGGGUGUUUUGUAUGUCUGGGCACUGAUCUGCCCUAGCUUGGACAUCAGAUGUAGAUUUAGGGACGUGGCUUGAGGCACAUUGCUCAAAAUGUGAAUAUCAAGGGGAAUUUUUUUCUCACUCACUACUUGAAGGGCUCAACCAUUCCUUAGACAGUAAAAAUAUACAUACACUGCUGCAAUAUUACUCAAAACAGUGAAUGAAAUAGCAGUCUUGUUUUUCUUGUAGCGAAAGAAAGUACAUGUAAAAUUUGGCACCCGCAGUAAGAGCUGAACAAUGAAGUAAACGUACCCAUGCAUGAAGCAGAGCAUUUUUAGCUCAUGGCUUGCUUCAGCUGACGUACAGUUGAUGUCUCUAUUUGACAUGGCCUUCAGGAAGGAUUUCUUUAAUUCAUUUAUAGACCUUGAAGUGUAAAAUUGAUCUCUUCUGGCUGUUUCUGAUACUUCUUAGCAAACAAAUGCUCCCUCCCCCAGGAAAGGCCUUUAUGUACUUAGAUUAAUGAUAUGUAGAGUAACAGGAGCUCUUCAGUCAGCAGUCUAAAGGAUAAGGCUUGAGCUAUGACUGUUUCCUUGCUUAUUAGGAACAGUGUGAGUGGCGUGUCUAAGCAGCAGGAAAACACUAGACAGCAAGAUAAUUCCACAAGGAGAGAGGAGAAAAGGACAGCCUCUCAACGUGGCAGCAAUGGCACCAAAAGCUGUCACAACCUGUCUGAGCAGCACGUAACUGCAAAUACUUCCAUGAAAGCACAUGCAGAAACAACAAGCCUCCGAAAGCCCUUCAAUGGAAAGUAAACUGGAACAUGACUGGCCUUGGAUGUGGCAUUUUUAAUAUUUAUGCGGAUUUUUCUUGAGGAAAAACUGUAAUGUACGGAAUUCAGCUCUUAAUGAGAUCCUCAGAAGGCUCUCACUACUAGAAAAGCCCUUCCUAAAGUCUGGUGCCUGUUCUCAGUCUGUUAUGCAAAACCAGGCUCUCUGAUGUGAUCUGGCACUUGGCAGGCAAAAUUCUUCUGCAAAAUGUGUGAAUUGCAAAAA
rnacentral:lncRNA from 1 species